rnacentral:rRNA from 1 species
AACGUAGGUGGCGAGCGUUGUUCGGAUUCAUUGGGCGUAAAGGGCGCGUAGGCGGCCACCGCAAGUCGACUGUGAAAUCUCCGGGCUUAACCCGGAAAGGUCAGCCGAUACUGCGGGGCUAGAGUGCAGAAGGGGCAACUGGAAUUCUCGGUGUAGCGGUGAAAUGCGUAGAUAUCGAGAGGAACACCUGCGGCGAAGGCGGGUUGCUGGGCUGACACUGACGCUGAUGCUCGAAAGCUAGGGGAGCAAACGGG